AUCUUCUUUGAAGGUAUGCUUAAGGAGGGGCUUGCGACACAUUAGUUAGUUGGCAGGGUAAAGGCCUACCAAGACUAUGAUGUGUAGCUGGACUGAGAGGUUGAACAGCCACAUUGGGACUGAGACACGGCCCAAACUCCUACGGGAGGCAGCAGUAGGGAAUUUUCGGCAAUGGAGGAAACUCUGACCGAGCAACGCCGCGUGAACGAUGAAGUACCUCGGUAUGUAAAGUUCUUUUAUUAAGGAAGAAAAAAGAGUGGAAAAACUCCCUUGACGGUACUUAAUGAAUAAGCCCCGGCUAAUUAUGUGCCAGCAGCCGCGGUAAUACAUAAGGGGCGAGCGUUAUCCGGAAUUAUUGGGCGUAAAGGGUGCGUAGGCGGUUUAAUAAGUCUAUAGUUUAAUUUCAGUGCUUAACGCUGUUGUGCUAUAGAAACUGUUUUACUAGAGUGAGAUAGAGGCAAGCGGAAUUCCAUGUGUAGCGGUAAAAUGCGUAAAUAUAUGGAGGAACACCAGAGGCGUAGGCGGCUUGCUGGGUCUUUACUGACGCUGAGGCACGAAAGCGUGGGGAGCAAACAGGAUUAGAUACCCUGGUAGUCCACGCCGUAAACGAUGAGUACUAAGUGUCGGGUAAAACUGGUACUGAAGUUAACACAUUAAGUACUCCGCCUGAGUAGUACGUACGCAAGUAUGAAACUUAAAGGAAUUGACGGGACUCCGCACAAGCGGUGGAUCAUGUUGUUUAAUUCGAAGAUACACG
rnacentral:rRNA from 1 species